AAUUUGGUGCUGGAGGACGGCGCAGCGGCUGUGCACUUGGCGGCCGGAGCCCGGCACCCACGCGGCCUGCGUUGCCUCGGGGCCCUACUGCGCCAAGGCGGGGACCCCAACGCUCGAUCUGUCGAGGCACUGACGCCGCUGCAUGUGGCCGCCGCCUGGGGCUGCCGCCGCGGCCUGGAGCUGCUGCUGAGCCAAGGAGCGGACCCGGCGCUGCGCGACCAGGACGGACUCCGGCCGCUGGACCUGGCCCUGCAGCAGGGACACCUGGAGUGCGUGCAAGUCCUGCAGGAUCUCGACACGCGGACCGGGACCCGGACCCGGAUCGGGGCAGAGACCCAGGAGCCCGAGCCUGCACCUGGCAGUGAGUAGGGCCUGCAGGGCUGCUGGGGCUUGACUUCUGGACCAGUCCCUGGCAUCCAGGGUCUUCCCCACCCCGCCCAUUGGUUCCGACCGUCUCACAUCCAUUAUCUGUGGCCAGCUCUUUCGGUCUCAGACACUCCGAUCUCCUUUUUCUGUCUGAUCCUAUUCCCAUCGCU
rnacentral:sRNA from 1 species